rnacentral:rRNA from 1 species
AGUCCUACGGGGGGCAGCAGUAGGGAAUCUUCCACAAUGGACGAAAGUCUGAUGGAGCAACGCCGCGUGAGUGAAGAAGGGUUUCGGCUCGUAAAGCUCUGUUGGUAGUGAAGAAAGAUAGAGGUAGUAACUGGCCUUUAUUUGACGGUAAUUACUUAGAAAGUCACGGCUAACUACGUGCCAGCAGCCGCGGUAAUACGUAGGUGGCAAGCGUUGUCCGGAUUUAUUGGGGGUAAAGCGAGUGCAGGCGGU